rnacentral:rRNA from 1 species
AUGAACGCUGGCGGCGUGCCUAAUACCUGCAAGUCGAGCUAACAGAUGAGGAGCUUGCUCCUCUGACGUUAGCGGCGGACGGGUGAGUAACACGUGGAUAACCUACCUAUAAGACUGGGAUAACUUCGGGAAACCGGAGCUAAUACCGGAUAAUAUAUUGAACCGCAUGGUUCAAUAGUGAAAGACGGUUUUGCUGUCACUUAUAGAUGGAUCCGCGCCGCAUUAGCUAGUUGGUAAGGUAACGGCUUACCAAGGCAACGAUGCGUAGCCGACCUGAGAGGGUGAUCGGCCACACUGGAACUGAGACACGGUCCAGACUCCUACGGGAGGCAGCAGUAGGGAAUCUUCCGCAAUGGGCGAAAGCCUGAAGGAGCAACGCCGCGUGAGUGAUGAAGGUCUUCGGAUCGUAAAACUCUGUUAUUAGGGAAGAACAAAUGUGUAAGUAACUAUGCACGUCUUGACGGUACCUAAUCAGAAAGCCACGGCUAACUACGUG